AAGUGUGGAAAUAUCUUUAGGAAUUAUUAUUUCUAUAUAUUAUUAUAUUUUUUUACUUAAGAGUCAAUAACAUAUAUAGACAAUGUUGACCGAGGAAUAUGAUAAAUACAUAAAAAAUUUAAAGGCAAAUGUAGUCAGAGUUAUAGAUUAUAGCAUCACCCACAAACUAAGUAAGUAUUAGGAAUUUAGGACUCAGGAAUAUAUUCUAUAUUUUGUAGACAAGGUAUAUAUAUAAAGUUAAACAUAUUAUUUUUUCAUGUUAUCAUAUUGUCAAGUGGUUUACAAAAAAACUCACAUUAAUGUUUACAAAUAUAUACUUAAAAAUUAAUAUAGAUUUUUAUAAAUAUAUACUUAGAAAUGUAAAGAAGAACCAAAUUGAAUGAAAAGAACAAAAUUAUGCAUAUUUUGGCCUAAUUAAACUAAGAAAAAGAGAUAGUUCAAUUUAUAGGAAUUGUUUCAAUUCAAUAUGAAUUUUUAUAACAAAAAUAUAUGUUAAAGUAAGAUAACAAUAUAAUGUUUAUAAAGAAAAUCUAUAUAAUUUUCAUACAUAUAAAUUAUAAAAUAUUUAAAAUUUUCUAAAAAGUGAAAGCUAAACAUUGUGAUUUAACUAUUUUUUGUCAAUUUAAAUUUGUGUAUGGGUUUUUACAAUACUACUGAUUAUAUUGGCUAAUGCAACUCUAAUAACAUUAGUUUUUUAGUUUUUUUUAUGAAACAACAUACAUUAAAAGUAUACAAACUAUUAUAAAAAUAUAUUUAGAAAAUACUAUGAUUGUAAUUUAUUCAGAACGAAAAAAAUAAGAUUGAAAGAUAAAUACAAUCCAAUAUACAAAAAAAAACUGAAAUAAUUUGAAUUUUUAUCUAUGAAAUGUGAAUUUUUUUUGAAGAGAGAGAAAGCUGAGGAAUUUUCAUCACAGUUGUAUAAGCUUAUAAUAUCAAUAACAUACAUAUUUUCAUACAAAAUUCAUAAAUAAGCAAAACUAAGAAAAAUAGUUAGCUCAAUUUAGAGGAAUUGUUGCAAUUCAUUUUGAAUUCUUAUACGAAAAAUAUAUGUUAAAGUAAGAUAACAAUAUAAGGUUUAUAAAGAAAAUCUAUAUGAUUUUCAUACAUAUAAAUUAUAAACUAUUUUAAAUUUUCUAAAAAUGAAAGCAAAACAUUGUAACUAUUUUAUGAAUAUUUAAAUAUGUGUAUGGGUUUUUAACAUGCAACUCUAAUAACAUUAUUACUUUUAGUUUUUUUUCAUAAAUAACAUAUAUUAAAAUUAUACAAAUUAUUAUAAAAUAUAUUUAGAAAAUACUAGGAUUGUAAUUUAUUCAAAAACAAAAUAAAUUAUGAUUAAAAGAUAAAUAAAUCCAAUAUACCAAAAAAACUGAACUAAUUUGAAUUGUUAUCUAUGAAUUGUGAAUUUU